rnacentral:rRNA from 1 species
GACGAACCGUGCGAACGUUAUUCGGAAUCACUGGGCUUAAAGCGCGUGUAGGCGGGACGGCACGUCGGUCGCUGAAAGCCCCCGGCCCAACCGGGGAACGGGCGCCGAUACGACCGCCCUGGAGGAACGUAGGGGGACCUGGAACUUCCGGUGGAGCGGUGAAAUGCGUUGAGAUCGGAAGGAACGCCCGUGGCGAAAGCGGCUCACUGGACCAUAACUGACGCUGAGGCGCGAAAGCUAGGGGAGCAAACAGG